rnacentral:rRNA from 1 species
CGCGGGUAUACAGCCCCGCGAGUGGUCGGGACGUUAUUGGGCUUAAGCGUCCGUAGCCGGUCCAGCAAGUCUCCCCUUAAAUCCCACGGCCCAACCGUGGGGCUGGUGGGAGAUAACUGCUGGGCUACGGGGCGGGAGAGGCCGAGGGUACUCCUGGGGUAGGGGCGAAAUCCUAUAAUCCUGGGAGGACCACCAGUGGCGAAGGCGCUCGGCCAGAACGCGCCCGACGGUGAGGGACGAAAGCUGGGGGAGCAAAGGGGAUUAGAUACCCCCGUAGUCCCAGCUGUAAACGAUGCGGGCUAGGUGUUGGGCGGAC